rnacentral:rRNA from 1 species
CAGGUCACUCCUACGGGAGGCAGCAGUGGGGAAUUUUGGACAAUGGGGGCAACCCUGAUCCAGCGACGCCGCGUGAAGGAUGAAGGUCUUCGGAUUGUAAACUUCUUUUGGAGGGGAUGAAUGACCUGGUGAAUAGCCAGGAGUGACAGUACUCUCUGAAUAAGCCACGGCUAACUACGUGCCAGCAGCCGCGGUAAUACGUAGGUGGCAAGCGAUACUCGGAAUCACUAGGCGUAAAGCGCAGGUAGGAGGUUUAGAAAGUCUCUUGUGAAAGCUCCCGGCUUAACUGGGAGAGGUCAAGGGAAACUACUAGGCUAGAGUGUGGUAGAGGUAGCUGGAAUUCCCGGUGUAGCGGUGAAAUGCGUAGAGAUCGGGAGGAACAUCAGUGGCGAAGGCGGCCAUCUGGAUCAACACUGACGCUGAGGCACGAAAGCGUGGGGAGCAAACAGGAUUAGAUACCCUGGUAGUCCACGCCCUAAACGAUGCGAACUGGAUGUUGGUCUCAACUCGGAGAUCAGUGUCGAAGCUAACGCGUUAAGUUCGCCGCCUGGGGAGUACGGUCGCAAGACUGAAACUCAAAGGAAUUGACG